rnacentral:rRNA from 1 species
GACGAACGCUGGCGGCGUGCUUAACACAUGCAAGUCGAACGGAAAGGCCCUGCUUUUGUGGGGUGCUCGAGUGGCGAACGGGUGAGUAGCACGUGAGUAACCUGCCCUUGACUUUGGGAUAACUUCAGGAAACUGGGGCUAAUACCGGAUAGGAGCUCCUGCUGCAUGGUGGGGGUUGGAAAGUUUCGGCGGUUGGGGAUGGACUCGCGGCUUAUCAGCUUGUUGGUGGGGUAGUGGCUUACCAAGGCUUUGACGGGUAGCCGGCCUGAGAGGGUGACCGGCCACAUUGGGACUGAGAUACGGCCCAGACUCCUACGGGAGGCAGCAGUGGGGAAUAUUGCACAAUGGGCGGAAGCCUGAUGCAGCAACGCCGCGUGCGGGAUGACGGCCUUCGGGUUGUAAACCGCUUUCGCCUGUGACGAAGCGUGGGUGACGGUAAUGGGUAAAGAAGCACCGGCUAACUACGUG